GAAACAACGCAGGACUGCAGCGAGGCUUAUUACUUGUUUCCCACGUAUCUCAACCAGAGCGAGGAGGUUUCUGAGAGGUGGGGAGGAGAUCAUCCGGAGGAUCUCCAUAUCCGGGCUUACUUCUCACCUGAGAUCCCAGAGGGCUUCUUCCAAAGGCUCAUGGUGAAAGCUUGCUCCUUCUACUCGGCCCACUGGGUUGCAAAGGUCACGUGCCUGCUCAUAUGCAGUGGCAAACCCUUGCUGAUCAAGGAGAACAACCAGAAGGGCUAUAGUUAUAUUGAACUCCGGAGCAGAAAGCCAGUGCAAAGAAAAGAAUUCCAGUUCACAUGGGAUUUUGUCAUGGCUAUCAUCUUCAUCAUCCGGAGGCUCUCAGAGGAGUGGCCUGGUCUGCACAUGUGCAUGAAGGCGCCUUGUCGAACGACAGGAUGUCCUGCAGAAUUUUUCUGGCCAGAUGUGGACGGCAAGAACACAGUGUAUGUAUGUCCUCUAACCUGUUUUGCCUACAGGAAACACCGGCGGUGGGGUGUGAG
rnacentral:lncRNA from 1 species